rnacentral:rRNA from 1 species
AACGAACGCUGGCGGCAUGCCUAACACAUGCAAGUCGAACGAGACCUUCGGGUCUAGUGGCGCACGGGUGCGUAACGCGUGGGAACCUGCCCUUAGGUUCGGAAUAACUCCCCGAAAGGGGUGCUAAUACCGGAUAAUGUCUUCGGACCAAAGAUUUAUCGCCUUUGGAUGGGCCCGCGUUGGAUUAGCUAGUUGGUAGGGUAAAAGCCUACCAAGGCGACGAUCCAUAGCUGGUCUGAGAGGAUGAUCAGCCACACUGGGACUGAGACACGGCCCAGACUCCUACGGGAGGCAGCAGUGGGGAAUAUUGGACAAGGGGCGAAAGCCUGAUCCAGCAAUGCCGCGUGAGUGAUGAAGGCCUUAGGGUUGUAAAGCUCUUUUAGCCGGGAUGAUAAUGACAGUACCGGGAGAAUAAGCUCCGGCUAACUCCGUG